UUGUCCAAAUAUCAUAAUCAAUAAAUAUUUAUACCCGUCAUUGUAGCGUGCUAAUGAUUGCAUAUCACAUAAAUCUGCUUGAAAUUGUCUCAUAGGACCUUGAACAAAAACUUUAUUUCUAGGAAAAGGUAUUCUGGCUGGUUUGUGUAAAGUAUAAGCAUCUUGAUCUGACAGAAACCCCUUCACUUUUUUAAUAUUAGUGUUUUUACAGCUAAUAGUCGCUCCUUUGUGUAAGCGUGCCUCCCCUCCGAAACUAGCUGGAUUAUUAGCUUUAUAAUAGAGCUU